GCCCCCUGGACAGUGUACGUGAUAUGAGCCCCAUGAAGAUCCAGCCGCUUUGUUCAGCGUGGCAUCCUCAGUGCCUGCUGUAGUGCCAGACACAUCACAAGCCUUCAAUGCAUUUAUUGAAAUAAUGAGAAAAGGAAAUGCAGGAAGAGGGAUCCAUUUCUUCCAGAUUCUGUUAUCUGACCUUAACCUUGGAAAAUCCUCUAGUGCCAUCCUGGCAGUUAAGGCCCUUGAGCAGCCGUCACUGCCACAGGCUACGGAGGUAAAGGAAGCAGCAAAACAAAUCUUGAAAAAGGCAGCUUGCUCCUGAUGGAGCUGCAUGAGUUACAAGGUUUUUAACUGCAAGAAUUGUUGGAGCCACUUCUGGUAAUAUAUGAAUUUCAUAAAAAUGUUUUCCAAGGUGCACAGAAACAUCUGAGGACUUUAAUUAAGCCCUCCACCAUCGGGAAUGGAACUUUUAUGUACAUGGACUUUGGAUUUUCUUUUUCUCUUUUUGAGCACUGCUGGCAAGGAAGCAAGUACCAAGCGAGGAUUCCAAUUGAGUUCUUUGACACGGAACCUUUCUUUUCCUUUUUUGGAAAAUGGAAGUAAUGUACUAGUACAGGCAGUCUGUUUGGGAAUAUGAGCGUUUAUAUUAAUGGCAUUAAACUCAGUAUUUAUACCACAAGGCACCUCCUUCCCUAUGGUUUGUGAUAAGACAUGUGCAAGUUGCACUGACUUGCUUUCCUCUUUCCCAUCCCAGACUCCCCGUGUAAGAAGCGGGUGCUGCUCCAAGACAAUGAGUCUUCUUUGUAUGCACUAAUUACAGAGGAGCUUUUGAAAAUGUGGAAUCCCAGGCCCUGCCCCCAGAGAGGGACCCUGGAGUUUACAUUUUUAACAAGUGAUUCUGCUUGCAGGAGGGCAUGGAUCCCACUUCAAGAACCACUGGAAUGGGG
rnacentral:lncRNA from 1 species